rnacentral:rRNA from 1 species
GAUGAACGCUGGCGGUAUGCCUAACACAUGCAAGUCGUACGAGAGUUUUUAACUCUAGUGGCGGACGGGUGAGUAACACGUGAGAAUUUGCCUUUAGGAGGGGGAUAACAAUUGGAAACGAAUGCUAAUACCCCAUAUGCUUUUGAGUGAAAUGGAUUUUAUCCGCCUAGAGAGAAGCUCGCGGCUGAUUAGCUUGUUGGUAAGGUAAGAGCUUACCAAGGCGACGAUCAGUAUCUGGUUUGAGAGGACGAUCAGACACACUGGAACUGAGACACGGUCCAGACUCCUACGGGAGGCAGCAGUGGGGAAUUUUCCGCAAUGGGCGAAAGCCUGACGGAGCAAUACCGCGUGAGGGAAGAAUGCCUAUGGGUUGUAAACCUCUUUUUUCAGGGUAGGAAUAAAAUGACGUGUACCUGAAGAAUAAGACAUCGGCUAACUCCGUG